AGAAGCGGAUUUAGCUCAGUUGGGAGAGCGCCAGACUGAAGAUCUGGAGGUCCUGUGUUCGAUCCACAGAAUUCGCAUUU
rnacentral:tRNA from 1 species